rnacentral:rRNA from 1 species
AGCCGACCUGAGAGGGUGAUCGGCCACACUGGGACUGAGACACGGCCCAGACUCCUACGGGAGGCCGCCGUACGGAAUCUUCGGCAAUGGACGGAAGUCUGACCGAGCACCGCCGCGUGAGUGAAGAAGGUCUUCGGAUCGUAAAGCUCUGUUGUAAGAGAAGAACGAGUGUGAGAGUGGAAAGUCACACUGGACGGUUCUA